GACGAACGCUGGCGGCGUGCUUAACACAUGCAAGUCGAACGGACGGACCCUGCGUUUGUGGGGUGCUCUUAUGGCGAACGGGUGAGUAACACGGGAGUAACCUGCCCUUGACUUUGGGGUAACUUCAGGAAACUGGGGCUAAUACCGGAUAGAUGCUUCUGCUCCCUGGGUGGGGUAGGAAAGGUUCGUCGGUUGGGGAUGGAUACGUGGCUCAUCAGCUCGUUGGUGGGGUAGUGGCUUACCAAGGUAUUGACGGGUAGCCGGCCUGGGAGGGUGACCGGCGACAAUGGUACUGCGAUACGGCGCAGACUCGUACGGGAGGCAGCAGUGGAGAAUAUGGCGCAGUGGGCGGAAGUCUGAUGCAGCAACGUCGCGUGCGGGAUGACGGCUUACGGGGUGUAAACCGAUUUCGACUGUGACGAAGCGUGAGUGACGGUAAUGGGUAAAGAAGCACCGGCUAACUACGUG
rnacentral:rRNA from 1 species